ACAAGUUUGGUUUCAAGAGCACAAAACUGUGCUCACUUAUUGCAGAUACAAUCACACAGUCCUAUAAGGUGACCCUGGACAUUGUAUAUAAGGAGAUGGCCAAGUUUUU